CCCUGGUUAGCUCAGUUGGUAGAGCGCUCCACUUGUAAUGGAGAGGUCCCGGGACCCGGGUUCGAGACCCGGACCAGGCG
rfam:Ixodes scapularis strain Wikel colony gcontig_1108379341738, whole genome shotgun sequence.